rnacentral:rRNA from 1 species
CCUACGGGGUGCAGCAGUGGGGAAUAGUGGACAAUGGGCGAAAGCCUGAUCCAGCCAUGCCGCGUGUGUGAAGAAGGCCUUCGGGUUGUAAAGCACUUUCAGUGGGGAAGAAAGCCUUGGGGCUAAUACCCUCGAGGAAGGACAUCACCCACAGAAGAAGCACCGGCUAACUCCGUGCCAGCAGCCGCGGUAAUACGGAGGGUGCGAGCGUUAAUCGGAAUUACCGGGCGUAAAGCGCGCGUAGGCGGUCUGAUAAGCCGGUUGUGAAAGCCCCGGGCUCAACCUGGGAACGGCAUCCGGAACUGUCAGGCUAGAGUGCAGGAGAGGAAGGUAGAAUUCCCGGUGUAGCGGUGAAAUGCGUAGAGAUCGGGAGGAAUACCAGUGGCGAAGGCGGCCUUCUGGACUGACACUGACGCUGAGGUGCGAAAGCGUGGGUAGCAAACAGGAUUAGAUACCCUGGUAGUC